rnacentral:rRNA from 1 species
AUACGUAGGUGGCAAGCGUUAUCCGGAAUUAUUGGGCGUAAAGGGAGCGCAGGCGGUUUAUUAAGUCUGAGGUUAAAACACGGAGCUCAACUUCGUGAUGCCUUAGAAACUGGUAGACUAGAGUGCAGGAGAGGUGAGUGGAAUUCCAUGAGUAGCGGUAAAAUGCGUAGAUAUAUGGAGGAACACCAGUGGCGAAGGCGGCUCACUGGCCUGUAACUGACGCUGAGGCUCGAAAGUGUGGGGAGCAAAUAGGAUUAGAUACCCUAGUAGUCCACGCCGUAAACGAUGAAUACUAGGUGUUGGAGUAGAACUUCAGUGCCGUAGUUAACGCAAUAAGUAUUCCGCCUGGGGAGUAUGCGCGCAAGCGUAAA